rnacentral:misc_RNA from 1 species
GAUGAAGAACGCAGCAAAAUGCGAUAAGUAAUGUGAAUUGCAGAAUUCAGUGAAUCAUCGAAUCUUUGAACGCACAUUGCGCCCGCUGGUAUUCCGGCGGGCAUGCCUGUUCGAGCGUCAUUUCAACCCUCAAGCCCCCGGGUUUGGUGUUGGGGAUCGGCUCUGCCCUUCUGGGCGGUGCCGCCCCCGAAAUACAUUGGCGGUCUCGCUGCAGCUUCCAUUGCGUAGUAGCUAACACCUCGCAACUGGAACGCGGCGCGGCCAUGCCGUAAAACCCCAACUUCUGAAUGUUGACCUCGGAUCAGGUAGGAAUACCCGCUGAACUUAAGCAUAUCAAUAAGCGGAGGA